UGGCCAGUGAUGAAAACCUACAUUUAAAACACCAUCUUUCGGGACUGAUUGGCUUCUGUAGCCAUGCUGUUAUCCUGCAAUUCUGAGGCUA